GACGAACGCUGGCGGCGUGCUUAACACAUGCGAGUCGAACGGAAAGGCCCCUUCUGGGCUCCUCGAGUGGCGCACGGGUGUGUAACACGUGAGUAACCUGCCCUGGUCGUCGGGAUAACUUCCGGAAACUGGGGCUAAUACCGGCUAGGAAUCCUUGCGGCAUGGUGGGGGUUGGAAAGCUACGGCGGUUUUGGAUGGACUCGCGGCGUAUCAGCUUGUUGGUGGGGUAGUGGCUUACCAAGGCGUUGACCGGUAGCGGGCCUGAGAGGGCGACCGGCCACCUUGGGUCUGAGAUACGGCCCAGACUCCUACGGGAGGCAGCAGUGGGGAAGAUUGCACCAUGGGCGGAGGGCUGAUGCAGAAGCGCCGCGUGCGGUAUGGCGGCCUUCGGGUUGUGAACCGCUUUCAGCAGGGGCGAAGCUUGUGGUGACGGUACCUGCAGAAGAAGCACCGGCUAACUACGUG
rnacentral:rRNA from 1 species